rnacentral:tRNA from 1 species
GCCCUGGUGGCUCAGAUGGUAAAGCAUCUGCUUGCAAUGCAGGAGACCCAGGUUCAACCCCUGGGUUGGGAA